rnacentral:rRNA from 1 species
AGUGGCGAACGGGUGAGUAACGCGUGGAUGAUCUACCUACGAGAUGGGGAUAACUAUUAGAAAUAGUAGCUAAUACCGAAUAAAGUCAAUUAAUUUGUUAAUUGAUGAAAGGAAGCCUUUAAAGCUUCGCUUGUAGAUGAGUCUGCGUCUUAUUAGUUAGUUGGUAGGGUAAAUGCCUACCAAGGCGAUGAUAAGUAACCGGCCUGAGAGGGUGAACGGUCACACUGGAACUGAGAUACGGUCCAGACUCCUACGGGAGGCAGCAGCUAAGAAUCUUCCGCAAUGGGCGAAAGCCUGACGGAGCGACACUGCGUGAAUGAAGAAGGUCGAAAGAUUGUAAAAUUCUUUUAUAAAUGAGGAAUAAGCUUUGUAGGAAAUGACGAAGUGAUGACGUUAAUUUAUGAAUAAGCCCCGGCUAAUUACGUGCCAGCAGCCGCGGUAAUACGUAAGGGGCGAGCGUUGUUCGGGAUUAUUGGGCGUAAAGGGUGAGUAGGCGGAUAUAUAAGUCUAUGCAUAAAAUACCACAGCUCAACUGUGGAGCUAUGUUGGAAACUAUAUGUCUAGAGUCUGAUA